UACAGGGAGGUACAGUAUCGCGAAUGAUUGGGCGUAAAGCGUCUGUAGGUGGCUUUUUAAGUCCGCCGUCAAAUCCCAGGGCUCAACUCUGGACAGGCGGUGGAAACUACCAAGCUGGAGUACGGUAGGGGCAGAGGGAAUUUCCGGUGGAGCGGUGAAAUGCGCAGAUAUCAGGAGGAACACCGGUGGCGAAGGCGGAUCUCUGGGCCUUGCCUGACGCUGAGGCGCGAAAGCUAGGGGAGCGAACAGG
rnacentral:rRNA from 1 species